CGAGCCCGCCACUUGCACCG
rnacentral:misc_RNA from 1 species